rnacentral:rRNA from 1 species
UACGUAGGCCGCGAGCGUUGUUCGGAGUUACUGGGCGUAAAGCGUGCGUAGGCGGUGGUCCAAGUCUGGUGUGAAAUCUCCCGGCUCAACUGGGAGGGUGCGCCGGAAACUGGGCCGCUGGAGUAUGGGAGAGGCAAGCGGAAUUCCAGGUGUAGCGGUGAAAUGCGUAGAUAUCUGGAGGAACACCCGUGGUGCAGACGGCUUGCUGGAGCAUGACUGACGCUGAGGCACGAAAGCGUGGGUAGCAAACAGG